UUGUGAUGAAUCCUAAACUGAAACGCUGGAAUUACCGUCAGAUUGUUUGUGGUGACUCUCGGUUUUCUGAAC
rnacentral:snoRNA from 1 species